GUUUCAGUGGUGCAGUUGGUUAGCACACCGUACCGAAGUCUCUUCAACGAGAAAUCCAAUACGAAAGUCGAGGUUUCGAUCCCCUCCGAGACCA